AUGUACCACUUGGACACUGCGGUUCUGAGCGCCGUCCACACCCGCCUGACGACUGCUCGCUACGUUUUGUUAGCC
rnacentral:sRNA from 1 species